rnacentral:siRNA from 1 species
CGUACUCAUAACCGCAUCAGGU